rnacentral:lncRNA from 1 species
AUUUAUCCAAACAUGGCCUCUAUUCAUUACUAUUCAACUUAUGAAGCGUGUAAGAAUUAUACUCCCCGAUGUCCAAAAAGGAACUGAAAGGUGAGCAUUUCUUAAUUCAUUGAUUUAGAAUUAUUAAGUUAUGUUUACAAUUUUUCAUGGUUCAUAUUUUUUUUCAGUUUUCAGUAGGACGCCUAUCUUACUUUUUAAUGAUUUAUUCUAUUGAAUUUAUAGAGAAAAGGAGGGAAACUGAAAAGUUAUAAAUCUGUUAUUGAUCAAAUGACUCCCUAAAACUAGUUCUGCAGUAUACCAAUCUUAUAUAUCAUUAAAAGCUUACUAGGGUUUUUUAUACAAGAAAAUGUUAAUGCUUAGUAUAUUAUGUAAGUAACCUGAAUUGGAAUCUUAGACCUCAUGUUAAGCAGUGGUUUAGAGUUUUUUUUUAUAUAAGAAAAUGUUAAUUGUAGUGAGUUAUGUUAGUAACCAGACUUGUUAGUUAUUGAUUUGAAUUCUGUUACAACUCAGACACUUAAGCUACCCCUUGAGGAUAAAAUUAUGCAAGAGUUACUUACAACAAAUAACUGUAGUAACCAUCGAUUUCAGAACUGGAUCCGCUGAUUGAACCAGGAAUCGGCCAGUCUAUACCGGUUGUUCAACCAUGGUCGGUUAUAAGUCUGUCAGAACCUCAUUCAACCAUGGUUUAUUCAACCGAAUCAUUGUUUUUUCGAAUGUUCAUACAUAUUUCGGGAAAUAUUCUUUAAUUCCUGGAUAUGAAAGACAACCAAAAUCUCAUAUUAGUUUUAUUCAUGGUCCUAUGUUAAAACCUGUUCUAUAAAGUAGCUGAUCUUAUGUACGCCUGAUAUAUUUGAAGUUUGAUCCUUCUGUUUGCAUAGGCUGUUCUUUGAUGAUAUUGAAAAUGAAUAGUAUAAUUGCAUAGUAGUACUCAACAUAAGUGAAUGUCUUUUAUUGUUAUAGGAUAGAACCUUUCAAAUCAAUCUCCGAAGCAAGAAGCUUACAAGCAAUGAGAAGUUUAUGAAUAUAAUAUUAAUGUGAUCUUUAGUUACGAAGAAUGAACUUGAUGAAGUUGAAUGCAUUGUUACGAUGUUCCUGACUAAAAUGUUGAUAUCCACACUUAAGAACAUAGGUAGACAUAAAAUGCAAAUUAUUUGGUCCGAACAAAACUAUAAAAAUCGUACAAAAGUCACUUAAGUUCGAUUUUGUUUGAGUAACACCUCCUUAAUCACUUUCUCCAAGUUCAUGUAUGAACAGCCUCCAGGUCUCGUGUCCUCCUCCACCUUCUUCUUCAACUCAAUUGCCUUUUGCCUCAUCUUCUUUGCUUUCUCUCCCACCAUCAAUUCAUUAACCAGCUUCUCCACCUCCUCUCUCUUCACAUUAGUGUCGAUUUCAAUUCCAAUUUUCCAUGUAUUGCAUAAAUAUCUGCAGCUUACUGGGUGAUCAGCGAAAAAUGGCCAACACAACAUUGGAACUCCAGCAGAUAUGCUUUCAGUGAUUGAGUUCCAUCCGCAAUGAGUCAAGAAUCCACCAAUUGAAGGGUGGUUCAGUACUUGCUCUUGCGGACACCAGCUCGUUAUUAGGCCUCUAUCUGAAAUUUCAUUCACAAACUCCGAUGACAAAACAGCUGAGCCGCCGAUGACAAGAUCGGGCCUAAUGAUCCACAAAAAGGGUUGCUUGCUAUUUGCUAAACCCCAUGCAAACUCUAACAGUUUUUCUGCAGUCAUAACUGUCAAGCUCCCAAAAUUCACAUAAACAACAGACCUAGGUUCCUUGGAUUCAAGCCAAUAAAGACACUUGGUAUCUUCUUUCCAAAAAUUGGUGCUUAAAGAUGUCAAAUGGUUUUCUGGACUUUGAUUUAAAAACGAAGAUAAAGGGCCAAUAGCAUGAAUACAAGGGAACACAGUGGAGAGAGCAUUCAUUACAUCCUUCUCAAGUUCAUUAGAAGUGUUUAAAAUAUAAGCAGAGGGUCGGUGAGCCCUUCCAGACGCUUCAAGGAUAAAUUCUACCAUGGAAUCAUUUGGAUAUUUUGCUCUUACAAAGUCCGGAAGAUCCUUGAUUCGGAAGUUUUUCAUGUUGGAAAUUUAGGUCUUAAUAUAAACAGAUUUCAUAAUACAUGUUCAACAACUAUGAAUCAAUAGCGGAAGCAAACAAAACAUUGAACAUGAUUAUGAUCGGAUCUACGACAUGUUUGAUUUACCAAGGAUAUUAAGAAUUAGGGUAUUAGGAAUACCUGGAUAAAGCUUUUGUAACAACCCUCUCAUCAACAACGAUAACCAAAGAGAGGAGAUGAUCUGAAACACGCAAUAGAGUUAGCGGCGGCUGAUUUGGUUCUUCCUCAACCGGUACCUUUAUGCCUCAAGUUCUCUUCAGAUGGGGAGAAGAGAGAGUAUUGCCGUGUACGGUGUAUUGGGGACCAUAGCCUCUUUUAUAUUGGAUGGCCAUUAGGGUUUCCCAUUAUUCCAUUAAUGGGUCAUCCGGACAUCCACUCAUGUUGAGUCCAUAUCAACUAAUUAAAUAAUUAAUUAUCCAAAAUAGAAAUCUAAUUAGCCUUAUUACUUAAUUUGAUCACUAAUCAAUUAAGGCUCACAAUUGAUAAAUAGCUAAUAUAAUUAUUAUUACGAUAUUUGCCCACAUAAUGAUAUUGGAAUAUUAUUAAUUAAUAAAAUAUUCCAACAUUUCAGUCCUGGAAUACAAUCUACUUUAGUGUCCAAAUAUCCGUUUGUGAGAUAACUGUCAUCUGUACAUCAAAUUACAAAAUCUGUUAACUUGAAAUGUCAUAUUAAUACUUUAACUACACUACAUCUAUGAAGAAAGAAAGAAGAUUAAUUGAUUGUUACCUUUUAGUGGUAUGACACCUUUGUCAAACAGUGUAGGUAAGUGAAAACAAGUCAAAAACAUACAUGCACUGGCUGGACUAAAGAAAACAACAGGGAUUGAAAGUUCUUCAGCAGCUUGUAUUGUAAAAUACAUGCUAUUAUCAGAAACUAUGCAAGUAACUGGAGGGACAAGACCAGAAGUGGCAGAGUCAUUAAGUCUAGCAAGAAGUUCACAAAAAGGUUGUAGGAAGUUCUUUCUGAUUGAUUCACAUAGAGCAUAUAUGUCUUGAUUAACAUCACUAUCGCCUUCUAUCGGAGUUAAACCAUCUGGAAUAGUCUCAAAGGUAAAAUCGGUGAAACCAUCAAACGCUUUUGGACCUCUUGAUUUGAGCAAGCGUUUGUGAUUGUAUUCGGUGUUGACAAAGGUUAUGUGAAAGCCUCUAAGGUGAAGAAGCUUUGCUAGUGUUAUUAAUGGAGUGAUAUGUCCUUGAAGUGGAUAUGGAAUCAACACUGCAUGUGGCUUUUUAUCAGAAAAAUGACUCAUUUCUGAGUUUUCUUGUAUUAUAGUAUGUGUAUGACUUGAGGUUUAGAGAUAAAGGGAUUAGCCAGUGCCAACAAUACACCUACCUAACAACUCUAAUCAUAAUGCCAAAAAACAUGUCAUGUGACAGCGUUUAAAUUAGUCUGUAGCUGAAUAAAAAUUUGGUGAUGAAUAAUGGCAAUCAUUAGGCUGUGACCAAUAAUGUUGGAGGACUUAAUGAUAAGUAAUCUAAGUCAAAUAAUUGCAUGGUUUUGUAACCAAUAUAUGUGAACAAUAAAAGAUAUUUAAACUGUCUCAUUAUUGUAAGGGAAAUAUAUUACAGACUCUAAUUUGAACUACACAAUAUUCUAUCCGUCGCAUAAAAAGUGUUUUAUUUAGAAUGUGUACGAUUCUUAUGAAAAUAAUUAGCUGUGUUGAUUUUAAUGGUAAAAUUAAUAUCAUUUACUAAAAUAUUCAUAUUAAUUUAUAUCAUUUACUACUAAGACUUUGUUUGCGAGUUGGAUUUUGGAGGGGAGGGGAAGGGAAGGAAAGGCUCAUGGCUCAUGGAGUGGUAAAUCCUUGUUUGCGAGUUUUAAAAAAACAAGGGAAAGGUUUUGGGGGGUUUUGAAGGGCUUUAUUUGUCCAAUUUUAAAGUUCCCCCAAAUUGGGGGGUUUUGGGGGGUUAAACAUACAAAUUGACAAUUUUGCCCUCUUAAUAAUUCAAAAUUCUAAUUUUAGACAUUACUAAAAUUAUUACAAUCUUUUUUAAAAACAACUUAUUCAAAACAACUUAUUUAUACAAAACAGCUUAUUACGACCUCAUUUUCAAAAACGGCUUAUUCAAAACAGCUUAUUACGACCUCAUUUUCAAAGACCACUUAUUCAAAACAACUUAUUUAUAAAAAACAGCUUAUUACGACCUCAUUUUCAAAAACCGCUUAUUCAAAACAACUUAUUUAUGCAAAACAGCUUAUUACGACCUCAUUUUCAAAAACAUCUUAUUUAUGCAAAACAGCUUAAUACGACCUCUUUUUCAAAAACAGCUUACUCAAAACAGCUUAUUUAUGCAAAACAGCAUUAUACGAUCUCUUUUUCAAAAACAGCUUAUUACGACCUCAUUUUCAAAAAUCGCUUAUUCAAAACAACUUAUUUAUACAAAACAGCUUAAUAUGACUUCAUUUUAAAAAACAGCUUAUUCAAAACACCUUAUUUAUGCAAAACAGCUUAAUACGAUCUCUUUUUCAAAAAAAAGCUUACUCAAAGCAGCUUAUUUAUACAAAACAGCUUAAUACAAUCUAUUUUUCAAAAACAACUUUUUCAAAACAGCUUAUUUAUCCAAAACAGCUUAUUAUCACCUCUUUUCAAAAAAACAGUUUAUUUGUGCAAAACACCUUAUUUCGACCUCUUUUCAAAAAAUAGCUUAUUCAAAACAACUUAUUUUUACAAAACAGUUUGGAUAAAUAAGUUGUUUUGAAUAAGUUUUUUUUAAAAAAGAGAUCGUAUUAUGCUAUUUUGCAUAAAUAAGUUGUUUUGAAUAAGCUGUUUUUGAAAAAGAGAUCGUAUUAAGUUGUUUGGUAUAAAUAAGCUGUUUUGAAAUAGCUGUUUUUAUAAAAGAGAUUGUAUUAAGCUGUUUCGCAUAAUAAGUUGUUUUGAAUAAGCUGUUUCUGAAAAUGAGGUCAUAUUAAGCUGUUUUGUAUAAAUAAGUUGUUUUGAAUAAGUGAUUUUUGAAAAUGAGGUCAUAAUAAGCUGUUUUAUAUAAAUAAGUUGUUUUGAAUAAGCUGUUUUUGUAAAAGAGAUUGUAUUAAGCUGCUUUGUAUAAUAAGUUGUUUUGAAUAAGCUAUUUUUGAAAAUGAGGUCAUAUUAUGUUGUUUUGUAUAAAUAAGUUGUUUUGAAUAAGCGAUUUUUGAAAAUGAGGUCAUAAUAAGUUGUUUUGUAUAAAUAAGUUGUUUAAAUGAGGUCGUAAUAAGUUGUUUUGUAUAAAUAAGUUGUUUUGAAUAAGCGGUUUUUGAAAAUGAGGUCGUAAUAAGCUGUUUUGUAUAAAUAAGCUAUUUUGAAUAAGCUAUUUUUGAAAAAGAGAUUGUAUUAAGCUGUUUUGCAUAAAUAAGCUGUUUUGAAUAAGUUGUUUUUGAAAAAGAGAUUGUAAUAAGUUGUUUUGUAUAAAUAAGCUGUUUUGAACAAGUUGUUUUUUUGAAAAGAGGUCGUAAUAAGCUGUUUUGUAUACAUAAAUUGUUUUGGAUAAGUUGUUUUUGAAAAGAGAUUGUAUUAAGCUGUUUUGAAUAAGCUGUUUUUCUGAAAAGAGGCCAUAAUAAGUUGUUUUGUAUAAAUAAGCUAUUUUGAAUAAGUUGUUUUUUAAAAAAAGAUCGUAAUAAUUUGUUUUUCAUAAGAUAAGCUAUUUUUUAAAAAGAGGUCGUAAUAAGUUGUUUUGUAUAAGUAAGUUGUUUUUAAAAAGUGAUUGUAAUAAGUUUUUUUUUUUUUUUAUAAAUAAGUUGUUUUUUAAAAAUAGAUUUUAAUAAUUUGUUUUUCAUGCGAUAAGUUGCUUUGAAUAAAUUUGAAGUUAAAUUACGAAGUAUAACAAUGUAUUGAUUUUAAGAGGAAAAAUGGUAAAAUAGUAAAAUUAUACUAUAAGCCCUCCAUCUCCUUUUCUUUAUUGACUUUUUAACUCCCAAACAAGAGGAAGGUUUUCCCUCCUUUCUCCCUUCCCUCCCUUUCCUUCCCUUCCUCUCCUUAGCCUUUCCUUUCCUUCCCCUCAAAACUCGCAAACAAAGCCUAAAAUGUAUUUUGAGAGUUCGCUUCGUAAAAUAUUUUUUGUUUAAUAGUGAGUUGAACAAAAAUUAAUUUAUGUUUAGAUAUAUUUAUUAGCGCAUCUUGCAACGUUUCUCUUUUGUUGUAAUCUAAUUAUGAGUGAUAAGAUAAUUAACUCGAUGAGAGUUAAGAGAAGAAAAUAUAUGUUGCAAUCUGAUCUCAUUAUUAAUGGAAAAAAAUUUACUACAACUUAUUUAUAUGGAAAUUACUUGCUAGUCAAGCAAAACAUACUCAACUUACCUAGCUGUAUUUUGUAGUUCAGAUAUUGAUGAAAAAGCUAAACUAUGGAAAUUACAACAACUUAAAAUUUACUACAACUUAUUUAUAUGGAAAUUACUUGUGAAUUUACAUAAAAUUAAGACUAAAAAUUAAUUAUUCUAUUGCAUCUAGAUAGAAAAUAGAGAGAGAAAAAAAAUUAAAAUUUUAGUUCUGUUAUUGAUCAAAAAGCUAAACUAUAACUAUAUUAACUAUAACAUCUAGAUAAGAGAAAUAGGAUGCUCAUAUACAUAUUCUCACCAAUAUUCUUCACUAGUAGAAUAUGUAAAGAGAACAAAAAUAUCAUAUUAGUUUCAGUCAUGUUCCAGUCACACCAACAUGGACACUAGACAUGACACGACUCGACACUGACAAUGAAAUUUUGAUGCCUGCAAUAAUUUGAGAAAAUAGAAUAAAUGUAUUUAAAUGUGUUGGAGUCGUUUAGGUGUCAAAUAUCAACAUGUUUCGGACACUAAACACUCAUCGAAGUGUCAAUGUUGCACCCUUUAAAACCUUACACCUAAGUAAGCUUACCAUUUCUAUUUUUUUAUAUUAAAACUGAUUCCAAUGUUAAAGUAAAACAUUAACUUAUGGCUUGUAUUUAAUUUAGUUAUUCCUAACAAAACUAUAAAUCUUGUUUAACAUAGAAGGAUAUUAAUUUAAACCUGAACACACAGCAAAGUGAUUGUUUGCUUUAAUUUAUCCUUCAUAUGAUAAUGGAAUUCAAGAUACUGUGGAAAAAGCCUCACUACCCCAACUUCAAAAUUUCAAAGCUGUAAAAUUCAACGAAUAAAAAUUUAAAUACAUAUGCCAUAGAAUUAUCCAAUUCAAUCCAUUAGUUUAAGAAUUCUUGCACAAGAUAUGUUCAAUUCCAUCAUCAUGAACUCUUAAUUUAUUAGCAUCAAUAUAUUUGUUAUACAAUACAAUAGCAUCAUCCCUUAAAUUCAGUAGGAGAAUAUCAAUGGAUCAAUAUAAUACUACAUUGCAUAAAAAAUUCACUUAUAGGUUUGAUUUUAUUUAAGCAAAACCUCCUUAAUCACUUUUUCCAAGUUUAUGUAUGAACAACCUCCAGGUCUCGUGUCCUCCUCCGCCUUCUUCUUCAACUCGAUUGCCUUUUGCCUCAUCUUCUUUCCAUUCUCUCCCACCAUCAAUUCAUUGACCAACUUCUCCACCUCCUCUCUCUUCACAUUGGUGUCAACUUCCAUCCCAAUCUCCCAUUCAUUGCAAAUAAUUCUACAGUUUGUUGGCUGAUCAGCAAUGAAUGGCCAACACAACAUUGGCACUCCAGCACAUAUGCUUUCAGUGGUUGAGUUCCAUCCACAGUGAGUCAAGAAUCCACCAAUUGAAGGGUGGUUCAAUACUUGCUCUUGCGGGCACCAACCCGCGAUUAGGCCUCUAUCUGAAAUUUCAUUCUUAAACUCAGAUGACAAAACCAAGGAACCACCAAUGACAAGAUCAGGUCUAAUGAUCCAUAAAAAAUGUUGCUUGCUAUUGGCCAAACCCCAAGCAAACUCUAAUAGUUUUUCUGUAGUCAUAACUGUUGUGCUCCCAAAAUUCACAUAAACAACGGACCUCGGUUCCUUUGAUUCAAGCCAAUCAAGACACUUGGUAUCCUCUUUCCAAAGAUUUGUACUUAAAGAUGCUAAGUGGUUUUGUGGACUUUGAUUUAAAAAUGAUGAUAAAGGGCCAAUGGCAUAAAUAGAAGGGAACUUAGUGGAGAGAACAUUUAUUACAUCCUUCUCAAGUUCAUCAGAAGUAUUAAAAAUAAAAGCAGAGUCUUUGUGAGCCGUUCCUGCGCCUUCAAUGAUAAAUUCUAUGAUCGAAUCAUUUGGAUCAGUAAUCCUUAUAAAGUCAGGCAAAUCCUUUAGUCGAAAGUUCUCCAAUCCUGGAAUACAGUCCACUUUAGUGUCCAAAUAUCCGUUUGUCAGAUAACUCUUAUCUGCAUAUAUCAAAUUUAUAAAAGUUGUUAGCUUGAAAUUGAAUCUUCAUACUCCAAAUAUAUGUCAUAUGAACACGCUAACUAUUCUACAUAUAUGAAGAAAGAAAGAAGAUUAAUUGUUACCCUUUAGUGGUAUGAGACCUUUAUCCAACAAUGUACUAAAAUGAAUACAAGUCAAAAACAUACAUGCACUGGCUGGAUUAAAGAAAACAAGUGGGAGUGAAAGUUCUUCAGCAGCUUGUAUAGUAAAGGACAUGGUAAUAUCAGAAACUAUACAAGUGACUGGAGGGAUAAGACCAGAUGUUGCAGAGUCAUUAAGUCUAGCAAGAAGUUCGCGGAAAGGUUGUAGGAAGUUCUUUCUGAUUGAUUUACAAAGAGCGUAAAUGUCUUGACUAACAUCACCAUCACCAUCCGUUGGAGUUAAACCAUCUGGAAUAGUCUCAAAGCUAAAAUCAGUUAAAUCAUCAAAGGCAUUUGGAGCUCUUGAC